rnacentral:lncRNA from 1 species
UGUGUCGGUAAAGGGCCUUUUCCUAAAGAAAUUUGUUUUGCUGUUUGUUUGGGGCAGAGAGAGGUAGCAAGGGAGCUUAAAGUUAACCCAAUAGCUCAGUGGGAGAUGAAAAGAGCACGUUGUACAGAUAAUUGACCCUUCAUUCCUCUAAUCCCCUCUUCUUGACAGUUUAAAAAGGUACCAGCUUGUGGCAAUGUAAAUGAACCUGGUCUGAAAAGCUAGAUAUUGCCAGGUGAAACCCUGGUUUUAGCCCCCAUUUUGUUAGUGACCCCAUAAAACCAGCAUUAUUUACUAUCUGGCUCUUCAUUAAAGCUCGCAGACGUCUGUCUAGGGUAAGAAAUUUCACCUCCUUAACUCACUACAUCCCUCAGCUCUAAGGUGGGACAUUCAUCCUUGGCCCCAUACAGAAAAGGGUGGAGUGGGAUGAAUGAAAUGCUUACUAAAAAAGAGCUGAUUUUAGUUUUCACAAGGGCUAGAGGUAACUGGUGAGAGGAGAGACAGGAAAGCUGUCUGAGAGUAAAAUCUCCAGAGAAGCAGCACUGGUUCUUUGCUGUGGAAAUUCUGGAAAUUCACUUAAGAGUAGAGAGGUCG